UUCGCAAUGCCCGAAAGGGUGACGAAGCGACGCCGCGUGCGGGAAGAAGGCUUUCGGGUUGUAAACCGCUGUCGGGAGUUAAGAAAUGCAAGGGUGUUAAUAGUAUCCUUGCUUGACUAAGGCUCCGGAGGAAGCCACGGCUAACUCUGUGCCAGCAGCCGCGGUAAUACAGAGGCGGCAAGCGUUGUUCGGAAUUAUUGGGCGUAAAGAGCACGUAGGCGGCUGUGUAAGUCGGUUGUGAAAGCCUUCCGCUCAACGGGAGAACGGCAUCCGAUACUGCAUGGCUUGAGUGCGGGAGGGGAGAGUGGAACUUCUGGUGGAGCGGUGAAAUGCGUAGAUAUCAGAAGGAACACCGGCGGCGAAGGCGACUCUCUGGCCCGUAACUGACGCUGAGUGUGCGAAAGCUAGGGGAGCAAACGGGAUUAGAUACCCCGGUAGUCCUAGCCGUAAACGAUGGGCACUAAGUAGAGGGGUUUU
rnacentral:rRNA from 1 species